UCUAUAUUAGCCGUAUUUUUCUCUCCCCUCUGCGAUCUUCGCCUCUGGAUCUGAUCCCCUCCAUGACCACGGCGGCGGCGCUGUCUCUGCUCCCAACCUCGCUUUUCCGGCCGUCUUCUAAUUUCUACUCCAAAAAGGUCCUGAAGGAGGACCUAUGGCUAGUGGUUGGGCAGCAGGACAGGAUGAUCAAUGGGGAAGACAUUUGAAACUCGCCAUUGUUAUAUGACAAGCUUGGGGUGAGGUACAGGCUAUGGAGAGCUGCACUUGAGAGGGGUGCUGAGCAUUUGCUAAGCAAGACAACUAGUCCAUGGUCUGCAUGCAAUGCAGCUGCAGUUCAGCUCCUGUAGGUAUCAUCUGGAACUGGAUGGUGUUUACGUGCGAUAAUAACCAGAUCUCUCUGCAGCUCUUAAUGAUCAAGACAUCUUUACCAACCAUAAGCUGUUGAUUGAAAGCUGGGAGAAGAUGAAUAGGCCAUUCCUUGUAAUAAGUUGUACACUAGCCAGUUCACCAAGUCAAUGCAAUUUUUUUUUGGCCAUUCCUCCAUAUUUGGGUUUCCUGUUUCCCCCUUCAUUUUUCAAUUUGGUGAGGCACAGUUCGAUGAUAGUUGUAGAACUACCAGCUACCAGUUGGCACUAGUUAGCUGAAAUCCUUUUUUGUACCAAUAAAAGGGAUCGAACACCCAUGCUGUUAAUGUGCUGUAUACUUACAAAGUAUAGGUUUGGUAAAUGGUAUUUGAAGAAAUCAAUCCUGAAGUUGUAGUGAUUAAAAUAGGUGGAGCAUUUUUAUCAGUUCAAACCAAAUUUCUUUCGGAUCUCCACUGACAGCCAGCAGGGAUUCUGCGGUUGCACAAGGGUGAGUUGAAAAGAUGCUACAGAGUGCGUUGUUCAGGUUCCUCAAUGGCCUGCAAGAGAGGAUUAGAGAUUACCAGGUCCGCCCAGGCUUCUAUUUGCAGGUCAGAGACAGGGCAUGUGCAACAGCAGAGGUCACAUUUGAGCACAAUAUCCGGCCUCAUCUGUGAUUCCAAGUUUGCUCACAAAGUUGAUGAAUUGUUUAUGUAUGUACACUCAGGACAAAAAAGCAGCAUUUUUCCUUUCAAAAUAUAGCCAAAUAGAAGGGUGUAUCUCCCAUGACAUUUUGAUGAGAAAUUUCCACAUGCUGAUAGGUCCAAAACCAU